rnacentral:rRNA from 1 species
AUUGAACGCUGGCGGCAUGCCUUACACAUGCAAGUCGAACGGCAGCACGGGUGCUUGCACCUGGUGGCGAGUGGCGAACGGGUGAGUAAUACAUCGGAACGUACCUUAUCGUGGGGGAUAACGCAGCGAAAGCUGUGCUAAUACCGCAUACGCCCUGAGGGGGAAAGCGGGGGAUCGCAAGACCUCGCGCGAUUAGAGCGGCCGAUGCCUGAUUAGCUUGUUGGUGGGGUAAAAGCCCACCAAGGCGACGAUCAGUAGCUGGUCUGGGAGGACGAGCAGCCACACUGGGACUGAGACACGGCCCAGACUCCUACGGGAGGCAGCAGUGGGGAAUUUUGGACAAUGGGGGCAACCCUGAUCCAGCAAUGCCGCGUGAGUGAAGAAGGCCUUCGGGUUGUAAAGCUCUUUUGUCAGGGAAGAAACACCGGCUCUAACACAGUCCGGGAAUGACGGUACCUGAAGAAUAAGCACCGGCUAACUACGUGCCAGCAGCCGCCGCCG